ensembl:lncRNA
GUACAAGCACUUCAAGUCCUUGCCGGAGUCGCUGAGCCUGGAGCAGCUGAGCCUGGUGGGGAGCCAGUCUCAGGAGGAGGUGGAUGCACCCACGGCAGGGGAUGGUGGCCCCAGCAAGGUCCCCUGCAGGACACGGUCACUCGAGGAGGAGCCCAACCUCGAGCCCUUGGCACUGCACCUCCCACAGAGAAGAGCUGCGACUCUUCCCCCCAGAGGACCCGCAAACCUGGAGGAGACACUGGGCCACCCCUCCCCUGCCCCUGCUGAGGAGCCACCAGCCUCUGCCAAGCCCCCCCUGGGGGUCCCUGGGCCACCACGGGUGUCCCUGUCCCUCGGUGGGACAGGCAGUGGUGCCACCCAGCCUGGGCCCCACAAGGUGAGUCUCUGGGGCUGCAGAUCCUCACCUGAGAGCCCCCCCAGAGCCCCCCAGCUGGGCACCCACCCUGCUGUCCCUGUCCCUCUGCAGGAGCAGCGCAUCGUGUCCCCAGAGACCGACAGUGGCUUCGUGGGCUCGGAGGCCAGCAGGGUGUCACCCCCCGUGCACACCCCUGAGCAACAUCGCCCAGGGUACGGCCCUGCCUGCGGGGUUUGGGGGAUUUGAGGAGCAGGGAUGGCAGGAGAGGCACCCAGGGUGUGAGGAGCAGGGUUGGAGAUGUGCGGAUGAUCUUUCGGUUCCUUCCAGCCCAAGCUGCUGUCCUGCAGUUCAGUGAUUCUAUCAGCUUUGAUGAGAAUCAUCUUUUGGAAUCAGUUUCCUGAUACCUGAGCUAGCAACACUUUCUUCAACUCGCACUGCAGGAAGUGUACUCUUUCUCGCACUGUGUUGCCGUAAUGAUGCUCUUGGGAUAUAAAGAGAAGAAAGUUACAAAAGAGUAGCUCUUUUAAAAAAGACAAGCUCCUGUGGCCAGGGGGAGCCCUGGGGCUGCCCACAUGAUCCAUCUCUUCCGUAGGGCUCCGGGCUCGCUGGGACCCUCCGUCCCCAUCCCCAGCAGCCUCCGUACCCCACGGGAGAGAGAGACGACCCCGCUUCCCUCCGAGACAGCACUGAUGGGCAUCUACCCCCCGAGGGGCACAGGGGAGCCCCCCAGCAGCCCCUCUGAGAGCAGCUCCCCCCCUCGCUGGGCUGAGGGCAGCGAGGUGGGACCCGACCCCGACGGUGACGGCACUCACACGGACUCGGAGGUGGGAGACAGGAGCUGUGCCAGCGCUGGUGGCCGCCCCCCAGCCAUGGCCAGGAGCCCCACCAGCCCCCUGCCCUCGCCCCAAACUCCAUCCCCCACCCUCCUGUCCCCCGACCUGCCGUCCGUGGACCCGGCUCACUGUGACCUGCUGGGCUUCCGUCUGGAGCGCGACCAGGCCAUCCGGGCGCUGCAGGACGAGGUGUGGCGGCUGCGGCGGAGGCUGGAGGAGAGCCUGUGCCACUCCCGCAGCUACCCCGAGGGAAAAGCCACUCCCCGUGUCACCCCGGGCAGGAGGCAGCCGCUGGCCAGCGCACCAUCGGCCCCGCAGGACGCGGCACCCUCGGGGCAGCCGAGCCCCCCGGUGCGGGGCAGGGCGGCCCCCGGGGUCACACCCAUGCGGAGGGGCAGGUCGGCAUCGCUGCCACGGGACAAGCCCGAGCUGGACCUCGGUCUGGAGCUGGGUCCCGGCGGAUGCCACCCCCCUUCCCUGUCCUCUGCCACAGCCUCCGAGUCAGAGCCCGGGCCCCGGGCACCCCCAGCCCUGCGGAAGCACCUUGGGAAGCCCCCGGGGGCGGUGACAUUCCGGGGACAGCACGCAGGGACACGGUACCAGGCGGGGACACCACGUGCCACCCCGGCACCCCGAGAAGAGCCGGGCACCUCGGGGUGUCCCCGAUGUCACAGGGGCAGGAUGGUAUCAGGUGAGUGGCCCACAGCCCCUUCCAGCCUUUCCUACCACCCCAAACAGCUGCUAAUGACCUUCAUUAAUUAACUGGAGAAGCUUAGGGAGGGGACAAACCCAUUCCUCAUGGCCUGAGGCUCUCCUCACUGUCCCUUGG